rnacentral:tRNA from 1 species
UCCCUGGUGGUCCAGUGGCUAAGACUCCAUGCUCCCAAUGCAGGAGGCCUGGGUUCAAUCCCUGGUCAGGGAA